rnacentral:rRNA from 1 species
UGGGGAAUUUUGGACAAUGGACGCAAGUCUGAUCCAGCCAUGCCGCGUGCGGGAAGAAGGCCUUCGGGUUGUAAACCGCUUUUGUCAGGGAAGAAAAGGUCAUCGAUAAUACCGGUGGCUGAUGACGGUACCUGAAGAAUAAGCACCGGCUAACUACGUGCCAGCAGCCGCGGUAAUACGUAGGGUGCAAGCGUUAAUCGGAAUUACUGGGCGUAAAGCGUGCGCAGGCGGCCUCGCAAGUCAGAUGCGAAAUCCCCGAGCUCAACUUGGGAACUGCAUUUGAAACUACGGGGCUAGAGUGUGUCAGAGGGAGGUAGAAUUCCAUGUGUAGCAGUGAAAUGCGUAGAGAUGGGGAGGAAUACCAGUGGCGAAGGCGGCCUCCUGAGAUAACACUGACGCUCAUGUACGAAAGCGUGGGGAGCAAACA